CGCGUAGGUGGUAGUAUAAGUCUGAGGUGGAAUCCUAUGGCUUAACCAUAGAACUGCCUUGGAUACUGUAUUACUUGAGUCAGUGAGGGGAGGGUAGAAUUCCUGGUGUAGCGGUGAAAUGCGUAGAUAUCAGGAGGAAGGCCUGUGGCGAAGGCGGCCCUCUGGUGCUGGACUGACACUGAGGCGCGAAAGCGUGGGGAGCAAACAGGAUUAGAUACCCUGGUAGUCCACGCCCUAAACGGUGGGCACUAGGUGUAGGGCUCGCAAGGGUUCUGUGCCGAAGGGAAACCAUUAAGUGCCCCGCCUGGGGGAGUACGGCCGCAAGGUUGAA
rnacentral:rRNA from 1 species